rnacentral:tRNA from 1 species
UGCUGGAUGGUGUAACGGUAACACGCUGGCCUCAUAAGCCAGAAGCUCAGGGUUCGAUUCCCUGUCCAGCCA